GAUCAUGGCUCAGGACGAACGCUGGCGGCGUGCUUUAUACAUGCAAGUCGAACGAGAAUCUGACUUCGGUCAGAGGAAAGUGGCGGACGGGUGAGUAAAAUGUAGAGAAUCUGCCCUUGAGUGGGGGACAACAGUUGGAAACGAUUGCUAAUACCCCAUACGAGAUAGGCUGCAAUGUUUAUCUUGAAAACUCCGGUGCUCAAGGAUGAGUCUGCAUCUGAUUAG
rnacentral:rRNA from 1 species